GAAAAAUUGAUCAAACAAUAUAGGCAUAAAUUUUUCCUUUCAAUGAACUAAUAGCAAUUAGCAUCAUAACAAUUCUAACUCGUGUGUGUGUGUGUGUGUGUGUGUGUGUGUGUGUGUAUGUAUUUAUUUAUUUUUCCUUUCCUUUCUUUCUUUAGAGGCUCCGGUAGAAGAAACUAUAGCUAGAACUUCUUGUUAUGAAAGUUUCGUCCAGCAGGGGACAACACACACAGCACUGUGAAUAGCCCGUCAGAAUAAUCAACCAAGAGAAACACAGCUAGUGAUCAGAUUGGUACCUAAACAGGUAGUGCUGGUCUAAGAAAUCCCACAGUUGUGGCUAUAUUCUGUUUGAGGAGCUUUUUCUUAAAUCAGGAGCAUUCGAUGGCACUUGCUGUUUUCACAGUGGAAAGAAAUAACUUUAAAAGGAAACUUGAAGUAUAUUGUAACAAGGAGGUUCAUGUCAAACUAACAUGAGGUCAUCAGUCAAAUGAUAAUUUGGUAAGAAAACACUCAUGUGAUGUGUAUGCUAGGUAUGUGCUACUUCAUUUAAAGAUGCUUUGUUUGACUAAAAGAGCUAU
rnacentral:lncRNA from 1 species